rnacentral:tRNA from 1 species
GCCCAGUUAGCUUAGUUGGUAGCGCGUCUGCCUUGUAAGCGCUAGGCCGCGGGUUCGAUUCCCGCUUGGGGCG